CGUAGUGACUGCGGAGGACAUUA
rnacentral:rRNA from 1 species